AUUGAACGCUGGCGACAUGCCUUACACAUGCAAGUCGAACGGCAGCAUGAUCUAGCUUGCUAGAUUGAUGGCGAGUGGCGAACGGGUGAGUAAUACAUCGGAACGUGCCCUGUAGUGGGGGAUAACUAGUCGAAAGAUUAGCUAAUACCGCAUACGACCUGAAAGGGUGAAGGUGGGGACCGCAAGGCCUCAUGCUAUAGGAGCGGCCGAUGUCUGAUUAGCUAGUUGGUGAGGUAAAGGCUCACCAAGGCGACGAUCAGUAGCUGGUCUGAGAGGACGAUCAGCCACACUGGGACUGAGACACGGCCCAG
rnacentral:rRNA from 1 species